CCUUAGCCCAGACAGAAGCGGCAUCCUUUUACUGCUUUCUUUAAGCGGGAAAAGAUAUAGUGGAUGGCUGGAAAUAGC
rnacentral:sRNA from 1 species